rnacentral:rRNA from 1 species
GAUGAACGCUAGCUAUAGGCUUAACACAUGCAAGUCGAGGGGAAACGGCAUUAUGUGCUUGCACCUUUUGGACGUCGACCGGCGCGCGGGUGAGUAUCACGUAUCCCACCUGCCCUUUACUUGGUGAUACCCCGUUGAAAGACGGCCUAAUACCCGAUGUGAUUCAUUGAUGGCAUCAGAUAUGUAUAGAAGUUUUAUCGGUACAGGCUGGGGAUGCGUGUGAUUAGCUUGUUGGUGAGGUAACGGCUCACCACGGCGACGAUGAGUAGGGGUUCUGAGAGUAAGCUCCCCGAGAGUGGAACUGAGACACGGUCCAAUCUGCUACGGGACGCAGCAGUGAGGAAGAUUGGGGAAGGGACGCUAGCCUGAACCAGCCAAGUAGCGUGCAGGAAGACGGCGCUAGGGAUGGUAAACUGCUGGUAGACAAGAGCAAUUGGAUGCACGUGUGCGUUAUUGCCGGUAUCGGAUGAAUAAGCACCGGCUAACUCCGUG